rnacentral:lncRNA from 1 species
ACAAUUUCAAGUAACUGGUUGAAUUAGUUUCUCUUGGACUUAAACGAUCAUGAAACUUCCAGCUACACUUAGCUAUCCUUUCUGACUCCAAUCAAACGAGCCUUUACUUGCAGCAGUUGAGAAUGAUACUAGUAUCUGUAAUUAAAUCAAGAGUUCCCUGCAAAACAAUAUACCAAGAUUCAAAAGGUAUCUAAACAAUCUUCAUAUGUGGAACAACUAUUAUGAGAAAUAGAACAAAGUGAAACUAGAUAGCUCACUCAACUUGGUACAAUAUGACCUCUCUCACUCAGUGAACAAAACCUUCCCUAAUAUCCUUAUCUUCUGGGAAACCAUUCAAAAUAUACUAGCAGCCAUUUUCGUUUUCUUUUUCUUUGUACAAAUCAGUAUGAAGGAAGAUGUAUAAGAAGUAAUGUAAUACAUAGGUUAAUAGGUUAGGCUCUGUAAUUCACAGUUCAAAACAAUUCCUCAAACUGAUCAAGUGGGUCAAAUGAGGCUUCCUAUUCAAACCAUUCCAUGGACUUUUGUACAGACCUUCAGUAUCUUUUGACCAACUCUAUAGGUCAGCAAUUAAACAUAUGAACACUUACAAAUCCCACAUAACAUAUGUACCAGAACAAUCAAAUUUUGAGUAUAAAUCAAAACCCAAAAACCAAUGGCGGAACCAGGAAUCAGAAGUGGGUUGGGCUGGAUUUCGAUGUGACUGUGUUUUCAAUGAAAGUGAAAAUCUAUAUGAUAUUGAACAGAUGGGAAGGCAGCCUGAAGCAGAAGAUCGCAAUGGUCAUGUUUCAAGAGAAAUGGAGGCCUUGAGAAAUAGUAUCGCUGCAAGUUUAAUGGGGACACCUAUUUGAACAUGAGUAGAAUAUGCUACAUGCAUGCGGAUAUGCAUUUUUGUUUAGUUUUUGCCAUAUUAUGUUUAAUAUCUUUAGUUGCAGACUUGCAGUAAGGAUAUUUGAAUUAUGAUUACCUAUUUUGAAUAAUUUAGAGGUGCCUGAGAGCACUUGAUUCUACUGUUUCUCUGAAUUUUUUUUUGUCCAUGAUUUGUCCCUCUUAAGAUCUUGGAUGAGACUAUCUUCUUGUGGUGUAUCCUUACAUAAGAAAUAAUUUGUGCAUAUUGAUGGAGUGAUGAACAAUGAUAUUGGGCUACUAGAUAGAUUCAAUCAAAAUUGGGGUUUUCACCAUUGUCUUCAAUGGUGUGUCGUCUGUGUAAUGGUGUUCUUGUCAUCUUCUUCUUCUUUUUUGUUACAAUAUGGUGUUCUUGUCUUUAGUCUCAUAUUGCUCUCCUUGCAACUGAUAUGCCAAUUUGACAAAGGUUUUGAAUAUUUAUAGUCUUUUAGAAAACUAUUGUCUAUUUUGGUCAUUGUCCAGAAUUAAUGUGUUUUGAAAGUCACGUUACCAAACACCAAUAAUCAGCUUUUUUUUAACUACACCACUUAUGAAAUAUUAUUACCAAACAUUUAAUAGAUUAAUUUGACAGCUGAUUAUUCUCAUAGCUGAGUUUUCUCACCACAGUGAUUUCUCACCGCAAUACUAAACUGGCCCUAAGGAGAAAAAAAUAGGGGAAGAAUAGGAAAGGAGAAAAGUAGAGAUAUUAAUUGUGAAAAUAGUAGAAAAUAUUUGUAAGAAAAAUAGGACAGAGAAAAAAUAAUUUAAAAGAAACUAAUUAAUGGGGGAAAGAGGAGAAAGAAGAAAGAAAAAAAAAGGAAGAAAAGCAAUUAGAAGAAAAGGUGGGAAAGAGAAGAAAGAAACAGGAUGAAAAUGAAGACAAAUAAAUAUGGGAGGAAACAGGAUUCGAACUGGUAACCUGAAGUUACUAAUAAAAAACAUAGUAGGUAGUUAGCCAACUGAACAAAUUGAAGUAAUGUUAAUAGUGGCACCUAUACUAGUACAAGUAGCACAUAUUUUCGUCUGGGCUAUAGUCGUACUAGCCCUCAACAUAGUUCCGCCACUGCCAAAAACUACACUAAUUCCCAUUUGCAACCGAAAUAAAUUAUUCUGCGGAAACGACCAAAAUUUCAACAAUGAAAUAGAAAACCAGCAAUGAAAUCAUCAAACAAUACACAACAGCUCCAUGAUUUACCAAUUGAAGAAGAAGAAAAAACAAGAAAAAAAAAACCCUAAAAUCGAGCGAGUAAAUCUAAGAAAAAUACCUUCAAUGAUGACCGGCCUAAUGACAAUGAGGAUGAAUCAUUAAUGGUAUGGGAAGGCUCUGAGGCAUUGUGGAUGGACUGAGAAUUGAGACGAGAUCUAGAGGAGGGAAAUUAAGAGAUUAAGCAUGUGUGGACUGCGGUUUGGCAGAGUGGAGAGACGUUAUUGGGUGAACGUGAUUCGGGUUUUACAGGUUUGAUUUUCUAUCCGUUUGAUUAGUUCAGUAAAGAUCUGAUGGCUGAGGUGAUUUUGUCUUUUUCUGUACCGUUAAUUAAGUCUCGCAAGUGAACGGGCCUGAUAAUUCAACAACCUGGUAGCUUGUUUCCACUGGGUUUGGCUGCUAUACUGAUGUGUAUAGCAUACAAACUGAUGGGAUAUGCCACGUGCAAGGCACGUGAAGAGAGAUUCAAAGGUUUAACCGAUUAUCACCGGUUCCNN